ACAUUUGAUGUACUGCUUUAAACUUAAAGACCUCUUUGGACCCGAAAUUGUAAGAUCCUGAGUGGCAACUGGAAAGGAUUCGUGGUUACUUGGAUCUAGGAAAAUCCUGUUUUAUCUCUGAUGGGACUAAGACAAAGCACUCCUGUUAGUACAACCCAGCUUGCGUUCCUCCCUGCCUGCAGAGGAAGCAUUUGGAUGCUUCCCUUCCCGUUGGAAGUUGCCAGUCUCUCUUCAGAGUGAUGAGGGCAGAACUGGUCAUUACGGAAAGAGUCGGAGGAACGGUGCCACAGCAUCAGGUUCAGGCAAGUAAGGCGGAAGCUGAACUCAUUAAGAGGCAUUUGGAACCCGGGGUUUCUUGUUUUCCUGUUGGAGAAGCUCUAAACUCUGAGAGUGUCCUAACCCGAUCUGAGAGAGCCUUUCUGACUUGCUCCCUCCUGCUCUGCUGUCCACUUGACCACUCAGUGUCUAUUUUUUUCUGACUGUCGUAGAACACUUGGGCAAUGUAGAAAACAGUAAAACACAAGUAAAAUUCCCUUAUAGUCAUACUCCCUUAUUAGAUAACCUCUGUUAACAUUUUGUAUGUCUUUGUAAUUCUUUUCCUACUAUUUUAACAUAAUUGAUCCCAAACUAAAUAUAAUUUGCACUACUCUUAUUAGCUAAAUAUAUGACAAAGGCGUUUCCUUAUAUUUUUAAAAUUCAUCAUAAACAUUGUUUUUGUUGAUUGCAUACUAUUACUAUUUCAACUUUUUUCACGUACAAAAUGAAUAAACUAUACCCUAGCAGCUAA
ensembl:lncRNA novel transcript